AGGUGAACCUGCGGAAGGAUCAUAGUUAUCGAGGGCGCAAGCCCGUCUCGCAACCAUGCGUACAAGCGUCGUGUUAUCCCUUCCCGGGACACACGUAAAAGAAGCGAAAUGCACAGAGUAUGCCUCUUACGAAAAACAAACAAGAAAUCACAACCGGUAGCGUUGGAUCCCUUGGCACGUUGAUCGAUGAAGACCGUUGCAAACUGCGAUAAGUGGUGUGAUGCGCAAGUCUAAAACUUAUAAGUGAAUCAUCGAAUCGUUGAACGCACGACACCGGCUCUAUCCGAGCAGGUAUGCCCCUUUGAGCGCCAUUAUGCCUUCGGUCGCGUCCGGAAUUUUGGUUCCGCGACGUCCGGGUUCGAGGUCCACCGUGCAUCCGUGCACGGCGUUCCUUCAGAUGCAUUGGAAGGGAAACAAGGUCACGCCGGAACCCACCGUGUCAUGAGACAUGCACGGAAGGACCGCAGCGCCUGGAUCCCAGGACGCGUCCACAGAGAGACCGUCCGAUCGCGCUCUCCAG
rnacentral:rRNA from 1 species